UAUUUUAAGAUUAACAUCUCCUUAAUAUCUUCAAUAUUAAGCUCUAUAUAAGCUAUUAAAAU
rnacentral:tRNA from 1 species